AUUGAACGCUGGCGGCAGGCCUAACACAUGCAAGUCGAACGGCAGCGGGGGGAAGCUUGCUUCCCCGCCGGCGAGUGGCGGACGGGUGAGUAAUGCCUGGGGAGCUGCCCAAUCGAGGGGGAUACCAGUUGGAAACGACUGCUAAUACCGCAUACGCCCUGAGGGGGAAAGGUGGGGAUCUUCGGACCUAUCGCGAUUGGAUGCACCCAGGUGGGAUUAGCUAGUUGGUGGGGUAAAGGCCCACCAAGGCGACGAUCUCUAGCUGGUCUGAGAGGAUGACCAGCCACACUGGAACUGAGACACGGUCCAGACUCCUACGGGAGGCAGCAGUGGGGAAUAUUGCACAAUGGGGGAAACCCUGAUGCAGCCAUGCCGCGUGUGUGAAGAAGGCCUUCGGGUUGUAAAGCACUUUCAGCGAGGAGGAAAGGGUGGCAGCUAAUACCUGUCAUCUGUGACGUUACUCGCAGAAGAAGCCCCGGCUAACUCCGUGCCAGCCGCCGCCGUAA
rnacentral:rRNA from 1 species